rnacentral:rRNA from 1 species
UGAGGAAUAUUGCGCAAUGGGCGAAAGCCUGACGCAGCGACGCCGCGUGGAGGAUGAAGGUCUUCGGAUUGUAAACUUCUGUUAAGUGGGAAGAAAGAGCCGUUUUUAAUAGAGACGGUAAAUGACGGUACCAUUAAAGAAAGCACCGGCUAAACUCGUGCCAGCAGCCGCGGUAAUACGAGUGGUGCAAGCGUUAUUCGGAAUAAUUGGGCGUACAGGGUGUGUAGGCGGCAUGUUAAGUCUGUUGUUAAAUUCUCCGGCCUAACCGGAGACAGGCAGCGGAAACUGGCGUGCUAGAGGGUGGAAGAGAGAAGUGGAAUUCUCGGUGUAGCGGUAAAAUGCGUAGAUAUCGAGAGGAACACCGAUGGCGAAGGCAGCUUCUUGGUCCAUUUCUGACGCUGAAACACGAAAGCGUGGGGAGCAAACAGG